GGCUCCGGCCGCCCCCCCCGUAUCUGCUGAGUGCCGCACGGAGAGCAGAGCUGCUGCGGGGGGACCCCAUCCCCGCCCCCCCGGAGGACCCCGAGGACCCCGACGACGACCUGGAUGUGUGAGGCUGUUAUUGGAGGACCUGCGGGAACACGGCUGUUGUUGGAGGACCUCCGGAGCCCUUGGGCGCCCAUUAAAGCCUGGUGCUGCUGUC